AUGCCGCAGGCCCGAGGUAUCCAGGGACUGGGCAGCCAGGCGGCCAGCCAGCAGCAGGACUCGGCGAGAUUCUGCAGCCAUGCGGGUGUCCAGGGCCUUCAGGUACUUGGCCAGAGCCUGGGUGGUGACACCACCCUUAGAGUUGGCAGUAUAGUCACAGGGCAGGCCAGCUUGGCCUGCACGGGGUUUGGCCGACUUGCCAGCCACAAGUGGGGGCAGCUUCUCGCUACCAUCGGCGUUGGCACACAGCAGGACACUCAGGCGCUGGGUGGCCCUGCGUGCCCGACCAUCACUGCCACACAGCCCCGCCGCCUGGUCGGGCAGGAAGUCGUACCACAGACUGGUCUCAGUGGCGCUGAACACGUCCUGGGAAGCGUAGCCCUCGGCCACCGACGGUGGCUGCUCCUCCCGAGCGCGCCAGCCGGUGGUACCCCCACCGCUGCCCUCCGAGGGCACUGCGGGAGGGCUGGCGGGCGCCGCUGGGGGCCGGGGGGCAGCGCUGCGCGACCUGGCGCGGGCCACGCCGCUGCAGGACACUACACCGUGGCGCCGGCGGAAGCGGUCCAGCCAGCCGUUGGAGGCAGUGAAAUCGUCCAUGCCCAGCUCCUCGGCUAUACGCAGCGCCUUCUCCUUGAGGAUGAUGCCCUUGACCGGCAGGCCAGCGGCGCGGAUUUGCUGGAACCAGGCGAUGAGCAGCCCCUCGAGCUUGUCGUAAGGGGACAGUUUGUUGGUCUUGCGACAGGUGGAGGCUACACCGUACUUGCGCUCCGACGCCAGGAUGGCGCGCUUGUUCUUCAGGAUGGUGCUCAACGUGGACGGUGGGAUGUUGAAGCGCCGCGCGAUCUCGCCCUUGCGCAGGUCUGGGUUUUCCUCCACCUCCUGGAUGAUCCGCGACUUCUCCCGGAACGUCAGCUGCCGCCGCUUGGGGCCCAUCCCGGCGCGCCCCGCCCCGGGGCCCGGCGCCACCGCCGCCACCCCGGGGCGGGGGGCCCGGGCCCGCGGCGGGGGGCACCUGGCGGCCUCUCCCGCGCGCCCCGCCCGAGACAAAGCGGCUCGCGGGGCGGCGGGCGGGGCAGCGACCCGGCCGGGCCGGGGGCACCUUCAGGGGCGCCGGCGGGCGCGGCGCCGGGCGGUGGGCGGCAGGAGGCAGGCGCGGGCGCGGGCGCGGGCGGGCGGCGCGGGAGCUGA
rnacentral:lncRNA from 1 species